rnacentral:SRP_RNA from 1 species
CGGGUGCUGUGGCGCGUGCCUGUAAUCCAAGUUACCGGGAGGUUGAGACUGGUGGAUCGUUUGAGCUCAGGAUCUCUGAGCUUCAGUGUACUAUGUCGAUCGGGUUGUCCCAAUAAGUUCGGUAUCGAUAUGGUGCUCCUGGGGAGGCCGGACCACCAGGUCGUCGAAGGAGGGUGCACCGGCCCAGGUCGGAAACGGAGCAGGCCAAAGCCCCCGUGCGCUCAGUAGUGGGAUCGCGCCUGUGAAUAGAGGCUGUAGUGAAGCCUGAGUAAUACAGCGGGACCCAGUCUUUU